GAGGGCGAAGCCUCAGAUGGUAGAGCGCUCGCUUAGCAUGCGAGAGGUACGGGGAUCGAUACCCUGCGCCUCUAAUCA